AGAGUUAGGUAAAUCCGGCUCUUUUUAAGGCUGAGACACGACGUCGAGCACCUACGGGUGUGAAGUCAUUGAUGCCAUGCUUCCAGGAAAAGCCUCUAAGCUUCAGAUUGUAAGGAAUCGUACCCCAAACCGACACAGGUGGUCGGGUAGAGAAUACCAAGGCGCUUGAGAGAACUCGGGUGAAGGAACUAGGCAAAAUGGUACCGUAACUUCGGGAGAAGGUACGCUCUCGACGGUGAAGUCCCUUGCGGAUGGAGCUAUUGAGAGUCGCAGAUACCAGGUGGCUGCAACUGUUUAUUAAAAACACAGCACUGUGCAAAAUCGUAAGAUGACGUAUACGGUGUGACGCCUGCCCGGUGCCGGAAGGUUAAUUGAUGGGGUUAGACUUCGGUCGAAGCUCUUGAUCGAAGCCCCGGUAAACGGCGGCCGUAACUAUAACGGUCCUAAGGUAGCGAAAUUCCUUGUCGGGUAAGUUCCGACCUGCACGAAUGGCGUAAUGAUGGCCACGCUGUCUCCACCCGAGACUCAGUGAAAUUGAAAUCGCUGUGAAGAUGCAGUGUACCCGCGGCUAGACGGAAAGACCCCGUGAACCUUUACUACAGCUUGGCACUGAACAUUGACCCUACAUGUGUAGGA
rnacentral:rRNA from 1 species